GAUUUUGAUCCUGGCUCAAAACAAACGCUGGCGGCGUACUUAACACAUGCAAGUCGAACGAGAAAGGAAGCUUCGGCUUCCGAGUAAAGUGGCGAACGGGUGCGUAACACGUAAGCAAUCUACCCUAAACUCUGGAAUAACUCUCCGAAAGGGGGGCUAAGACUGGAUAGGGUCCUCGAGAUAUAAGUCGCGAGGGGAAAGCAGGCCUCUGUUAUAAGCUUGCGGUUUAGGAUGAGCUUGCGUCCCAUUAGUUUGUUGGUGAGGUAACGGCUCACCAAGACUACGAUGGGUAGCUGGUCUGAGAGGAUGAUCAGUCACACUGGCACUGAGACACGGGCCAGACUCCUACGGGAGGCAGCAGUGGGGAAUUUUGCGCAAUGGGCGAAAGCCUGACGCAGUAACGCCGCGUGGAGGACGAAGGCCUUCGGGUCGUAAACUCCUGUCAGGGGGAAAGAAGGGCUUGAGGCUAGAAUACAUCUUCGAGUUCUGACGGUACCCCCAAAGGAAGCCCCGGCUAAUUCCGUGCCAGCAGCCGCGGUAAUACGGAAGGGGCUAGCGUUGUUCGGAAUCAUUGGGCGUAAAGGGCGCGUAGGUGGUCUUAUAUGUCCGUCGUGAAAGUGCACGGCUCAACCGUGUUUGGUCGGCGGAAACUGUAAGACUUGAGGCUGGGAGGGGCUGGAGGAAUUCCCUGUGUAGCGGUGAAAUGCGUAGAGAUAGGGGAGAACACUCGUGGCGAAGGCGUCCAGCUGGACCAGUCCUGACACUGAGGCGCGAAAGCGUGGGUAGCAAACAGGAUUAGAUACCCUGGUAGUC
rnacentral:rRNA from 1 species